GUGGCAUUAGCUCAAUUGGUUAGAGCAUCAGGUUGUGGACCUGAGGGUUGACGGUUCAAGUCCGUUAUGCCACC
rnacentral:tRNA from 1 species